rnacentral:rRNA from 1 species
UGGAAGGUCCCCCACACUGGCACUGAGAUACGGGCCAGACUCCUACGGGAGGCAGCAGUAGGGAAUAUUGGUCAAUGGGCGCAAGCCUGAACCAGCCAUGCCGCGUGCAGGAUGAAGGCUCUCUGAGUUGUAAACUGCUUUUGUACAGGAGCAAAAAAAUCCCUGCGGGGGUUCUUGAGAGUACUGUAAGAAUAAGCACCGGCUAAUUCCGUGCCAGCAGCCGCGGUAAUACGGGAGGUGCAAGCGUUAUCCGGUUUUAUUGGGUUUAAAGGGUGCGUAGGCGGCUUAUUAAGUCAGUUGUGAAAUCCUAGUGCUUAACGCUAGAACU